AGAGUUUGAUCAUGGCUCAGAACGAACGCUGGCGGCGUGCUUAACACAUGCAAGUCGAACGGGAAAAGCUCCUUCGGGAGCCGAGUACAGUGGCGCACGGGUGAGUAACACGUAGGUGAUCUACCUAUCGCUGGGGAAAAACUUCGGGAAACCGGAGCUAAUUCCGCAUACGUCUUUCGGAUUGCGGUCCGAAAGGGAAAGGUGGCCUCUUCAUGAAAGCUAUCGGCGAUAGAUGAGCCUGCGGGUCAUUAGCUUGUUGGUGAGGUAACGGCUCACCAAGGCUACGAUGACUAGCUGAUCUGAGAGGAUGAUCAGUCACACUGGAACUAGAACACGGUCCAGACUCCUACGGGAGGCAGCAGUGGGGAAUAUUGCGCAAUGGGCGAAAGCCUGACGCAGCAACGCCGCGUGAGUGACGAAGGCCUUCGGGUCGUAAAGCUCUGUCGAGAGGGAAGAAACUCCGAUGAGAACAACACCUCGUCGGUUUGACGGUACCUCCAAAGGAAGCACCGGCUAACUCCGUGCCAGCAGCCGCGGUAAUACGGAGGGUGCAAGCGUUGUUCGGAAUUACUGGGCGUAAAGGGCGUGUAGGCGGAUCGAGUAGUCGGGUGUGAAAGCCCUGGGCUCAACCCAGGAAGUGCGCCCGAAACCAUCGGUCUAGAGUUUCGGAGGGGAGCGGGGAAUUCCCAGUGUAGAGGUGAAAUUCGUAGAUAUUGGGAGGAACACCGGUGCCGAAGGGGCCGCUCUGGACGAAUACUGACGCUGAGACGCGAAAGCGUGGGUAGCAAACAGGAUUAGA
rnacentral:rRNA from 1 species